rnacentral:rRNA from 1 species
CGGGUGAGCACCUCGUGGGCCAUCUGCCCUGCACUCUGGGACAAGCCCUGUAAACGGGGUCUAAUACCGGAGACUGACCCCCGCAGGCUUCUGCGGGGUUCGAAAGCUCCGGCGGUGCAUGAUGAGUCCGCGGCCUAUCAGCUUGUUGGUGAGGUAACGGCUCACCAAGGCGACGACAGAUAGCCGGCCUGAGAGGGCGACCGCCCACACAUGGGACUGAGACGACGGCCCAGACUACUACGGGAGGCAGUAGUGGGGAAUAUUGCACAAUGGGCGAAAGCCUGAUGCAGCGACGCCGCGUGAGGGAUGACGGCCUUCGGGUUGUAAUCCUCUUUCAGCAGGGAAAAAGCGAACGUGACGGCACCUGCACAAGAAGCGCCGGCUAACUACGUGCCCGCACCCGCGGCAAUACGUAGGGCGCGAGCGUUGUCCGGAAUUAUUGGGCGUAAAGAGCUCGUAGGCGGCUUGUCACGUCGGUUGUGAAAGCCCGGGGCUUAACCCCGGGUCUGCAGUCGAUACGGGCAAGCUAGAGUUCGGUAGGGGAGAUCGGAAUACCUGGUGUAGCGGUGAAAUGCGCAGAUAUAAGGAGGAACACCGGUGGCGAAGGCGGAUCUCUGGGCUGAUACUGACGCUGAGGAGCGAAAGCGUGUGGAGCGAACAGGAUUAGAUACCCUGGUAGUUCCACGCCGUAAACGGCGGGCACUAGGUGAGUGCGACAUUCCACGACGUCCGUGCCGCAGCUAACGCAUAAAGUGCCACGCCUGGGGAGUACGGCCGCAUGGCUAAACUCGAAGGAUUGACGGGGUCCGAA